CACUUCUUUUCCAUGGAAAAUGAAUAUUUUCCACCUAAAUUCCAUCUUUUGUAGUGUUUGAUUGUAUUUCUUUUCCAGAGAACUUAAUUUCUCAUUUUCGGUCACGUGACCCAGUUUUCUAGCUUUUGCUGGAAAUAGUUUUCCUAGGGGGGGGUUGUUUUACAUUUCCAGGGAAUUCCCUAUCGCGCGCACAGCCGAUUCCUCGAUUUCUCUAGGGUUUCCUCUCCCAUUCGAGCCGACUUCGUUCCCUUCCUCUUCAUUGCCAUCCACCGCUGAAGUCGAGCCCUUACUUGGGCUUCGUCACCAUCUUUGACUUCCUGUGAGUCACCAUCCACCACCGAAGUAGACCAUCUCCGACUUCUUGUGACUCGCCAUUCAUCUUCGACUUGGGCUUCGUUGCUAUCUCCACAAAAGACCAGCUCUGACUUCGUUUUCGUCGCCCUCUUCGCAGAAGACCAUCUUUGAUUUCAAGUUUCACACCACCGACGCAUCUUCAUCUUCUUCCAUGUGAACGAUCUUGGCCUUCGACCAUCGAUCUGGAGUCUUCGUCCACCGGAAGAGAUCUUGUUCUCUGUUUCAGCGAGUGAUCUUGGCCUCUGUUUCAGCAAGCGAUCUUUAUGUUCGCCAUCUCCGCUGAAGUCGACCUCCGAUUCCAACUUGCAGACCGCCGUUCAUCCUCGUCGCCAUCUUCGUCCAUAUUUUAUGGUACAUAAUCAAAAAAACCCUAUGGGAGAGGAAAAUAACUCAAGCCAAAUGGAUCCUGCAUCGAAAAAUCGUCACAUACGUUGGAAUGAUGUAAUGGAUAAUUGUAUGAUUAGCGCACUAUAUCAUCAAGUGUUGACCGAUCACAAAAGAAGUGACAAUGGUGUUACUUCAUCUCAAGUGUCAAAAGUAAUUGAGAGUGUAAAUAAUGGAUGUGGAGUUGUGGUGUCGGAAAAAAAUGUAAGGGGGCGUUUGAAGACUAUUAAGAAAGAAUAUGUUGAACUUCGUCAAUUAUUAAAUAUGAGUGGUUUUGGGUUGGAUCCUAACACUGGACGUGUCACAGCCGAUGCAUUGGCUUGGGAGGAGUUUCUUAAGGGGAAACUAGAAUUUGGAAAGUGAAAGAACAAACAUUGUCCUCGGUAUGAUGAGUUGGAGGUUAUCCUUGGAAAUGAUGUUGCUACAGGAGAGCGCUCAACAGCUGGCAAUGACGAUAUCUCUCCUAUCCAUGUGGAUGAAAGUGUAAAUGAGAUUGAUAGUCAAAGUGAAAUUACAAAUUCAAGCAAAAAAAGUGAUUCCAAGCGUAGCGCCGAAGGAGGAACUAACAGAAGCCGGUGUAAACGUACCCAACCUGAUGAGAGUAUUAUUGCCCUAUCGAGUAUUGCCGAAUCAUCAAAAAGAAUUGCCAAUGCUAUGGAAAUUCAAGCGACAUUAGAUACAAAAAAACAUAUAAAUUGGCAAUUGGUUUUAGAGAAAUUAAAAGGCAUGAAGAUAGAUAGGCAUGAUGUGAUGCAAAUCAUGAAUAUAUUUAAAGCGGAUGAAAGUUUUGUGAGAAUUUUUAUGAGUUUGACUGAUGAAGCAUUUAUGUGGGAUUGGGUUUUUGAGAAACUUGGCCGUGAUCCACCUCCACUUAAUUAGUAGAUGAUGUUUGGUAUGUUUGUGACAAACACUAUUUAAUUUGUAAGGCAGAACGAAACUGCAUAUAUUUUGUGUUUGAAUGAGACUAGUGGAUAUGUUGUGUUUGUAUUCCAAUAUGUAUGGUAUUGCUGGAAAUUUUAUUAUGUAUGGUCUUGCUGGA